ensembl:lncRNA
CGCACGCCUGCUGAAAAACAAAAAGAGACAAACAAAUAAACAAACAAACGAAAACCUCAUAGAAUUUAUAAUGGUUUUAAUAGUUAUAAUGGGAAUUGAAUUGGUUUCUCUACUGGUACCAACUGGGGUCUCUACUGGUAAUUUGUUGCGUUCUAUUGGUGGCAUGCUAUGUCUAGUGGAUACCAUUAACGACCAAUAAUGGUAAUGGUUUUAAUGGUUAGGCGAUGGUUUGUAAUGAUAUUUGUAGUGGAAACCAUUAGAAGUUCUGUGAUGGUUUCUAUUGUGUUGCAAUAUAUUCUUUAGUGUCAUUCUUGAAGAAGUAAGCAGUUACUAUACACACUGUAAACCACGAUACAGCUUGUCAAAUGAUUGUCAAACUCUUCAAAUUAUUUAAAAGUACAGUGCAUUCACAACAGGAACAAAAGCACAACUCUCUCUCUGUCCACAGGUGAGUUUAAUCAUUACUCGAUUAAUCGAUUCGAAGGUAUACUUCAGGUAACGCCUUUUCCCCACUUCAGACACGCUUAGGACUUGUUUGAAGACACUUCUCUAGACCUUUUGCUAAAAAUGUUCAAAAGUAAAAGGGUGAAGGGUGAAAAUAUAUAUUUGUAAACCGACUUCCAGAGGUUUGUUUACAUUGUGGCUCAGAUACAAAAAAAGAACCACUUAAAGUCCAAAUACUCCGGAAGUAUGUCCAUCUUAUUUGAAGUGCUGUGUAUAUUUGAUACAUUUAAACAUUUAUACAUAUAAUAUAACCUACUAUAUUAAUUUAUUUAAACCAUGUUUACGCCAAACAUCAGAAAACUGACAGUUUUCACAUUUUAACAGCUGAUUAUUCGACUCGCCUGCUGCUGGUCACGGAUAUCGCGCGAGACAUCAAUUAAUAAUAAUAAUAAUAAUAAUAAUAAUAAUGAUAAUGAUAAUGAUAAUAAACUGUAACAGACUUCACUGCUUUCACGGGAAAAUGAGAGAAGCUUACAAACAUUUCCAAACCCCCAUCUGUUUCAUUCUGGUAGUGUAAGACUUGUAUAACGUCUCCCAGCAAAACAAAAAGGCCACCAAAACGUUAAAGAGGUCCAAAAUAUUUAAUAAACACGCUACUUACAGGAUCAACAAAGCAGCAGAGUCGAGCUGUUAUCCAUCUAAACCUGAAACACGACUGAUUUGCUCUAAUCACACAGCACUGACUCAGUUAACUGUGCUCUAUGAAUGAAAUUGAGGACUAACAGCUCCCUCUGUCGGCGGAAAUGAAUAUAACAAUGUUCUAAAUUCAUUAAUUGUUCACGUAUUGAUCGGUCUAGGUAUUAUCUAUUAACUAGUCAAGUGCUUCCCAUUGCGGAGACUAUGACAAAUAUCUAGGAGUUUGCAUUUGAAAAAAAAGAAAAAAAAGAGGACUGUUCUUUCACUAGGAAGCAAAAUAGAGUAAUAAUCACCCCCUAUUUCAUUUCAUUUGAGUGGAAAGGCUCAAG